rnacentral:tRNA from 1 species
UGCGGGAUGGAGCAGUCUGGUAGCUCGUCGGGCUCAUAACCCGAAGGUCGUCGGUUCAAAUCCGGCUCCCGCUUCCA